GAUGAACGCUGGCGGCGUGCCUAAUACAUGCAAGUCGAGCGGACAGACGAGGAUCUUGCGGGUCGGACGAGAGGCGAACACGUGAGAGAAACGCGUGUAUACUCUACCUGUAAGAGGGGUAUCACCUCGAAAAACGGGCGCAUAUCGCGGAGGAGCUAUUGCAGCGCGUUGUUGGAUGGUAAGAGUCGGCGGUGCGGGAUGGACUAGCGGCUUAUGCGCUGGUUGGUGUAGUAGUGGCUUACCAAGGCUAUGACGGGUAGGCGGCCUGGGAGAGUGACCAGCCUCAUUGCGACUGAGAGACGGCCCAGACUCCAACGGGAGGCAGCAGUGGGGAAUAUUGCACAGUGGGCGGAAGCCUGAUGUGACAACGCCGGGUGCGUGAUGAUCGCUUUCGAGUUAAAAACCACUGUCGCCUUUAACAUGGCGUGAGUGACGGUAAUUGGUAAGAAAGCACCGGCUAACUACGUG
rnacentral:rRNA from 1 species